GGUUGCGUGGCCCAGUGGUUAAGGCAUCUGCUUUACAGGCAACAAGAAAGCUUCCUCGGUAGUUCUUCUCUAGACCGUUCGCAGAGGAUCGCAGGUUCGAGCCCUGCCGCGAUCA